UGGGGAAUAUUGGACAAUGGGCGCAAGCCUGAUCCAGCCAUGCCGCGUGAGUGAUGAAGGCCUUAGGGUUGUAAAGCUCUUUCGCGCGCGACGAUAAUGACGGUAGCGCGAGAAGAAGCCCCGGCUAACUUCGUGCCAGCAGCCGCGGUAAUACGAAGGGGGCUAGCGUUGUUCGGAAUCACUGGGCGUAAAGCGCAUGCAGGCGGAUUGUUAAGUCGGGGGUGAAAUCCCGAGGCUCAACCUCGGAACUGCCUUCGAUACUGGCAAUCUUGAGUCCGGGAGAGGUGAGUGGAACUGCGAGUGUAGAGGUGAAAUUCGUAGAUAUUCGCAAGAACACCAGUGGCGAAGGCGGCUCACUGGCCCGGUACUGACGCUGAGGUGCGAAAGCGUGGGGAGCAAACAGG
rnacentral:rRNA from 1 species